GGGACACUGGGGAGGCCCGGGAGCCACGGCCGCCCCGCGGGGACAGCAGCGCCACGGCACGACGGACACCGGCGCGUCCCGUCCUUUGUCUGCCAAGUUGCGGCGGCCCCGCACCGGGUAGCGCAGGCGACUUUAUCGCGGGGGAUGUCCUGGCCCUGAGGGCUCAGGGAACGCGCCCAGGGAAAAGGCAGCUUUGCCAGUGCCUCCAUAAGUCGUGGUGGUGUCGAAUUCCCUGUCCCAGCCCUUCAGGUCGCGCUAACCUCACUUCACAUCUUGUAAAUUCUCCCUAAAGACUCCAAAGCAUCGGUGGAAAAUACACGUACACCAUGUGUGCCCUGAACCCUUGCGGCCUGAAAAGCAGGCAGCUAAGUCGCAUUAAGUAUAGAAACCAGGUGUGAGUUACUGUGUGUUUAUCUCGCAUUUGCCACAGGAGAAGAGUAUCCCAGGCCGGUUACCAUGGUUCAGCUGAUAGAAGUCUAUUUAUCUACUCCAUUAUCGCUGUCUAACAUUCAGCUCUACGAAUUCUUCUUCAGAGACAAUUUACACUUAUUAAGUACUGGACUUGUUCAGUGCAUAACAAGUUUUUUCAUUUUGCUUCAGAGGCCACAUAUCUGACAGGCAUUGAAGUAACUAAUUUACAGCUCUCCAAGUCCUACUGUUGGAUCUGCUCCUAAAUAGAAAAAAGUACCAGCAAGAUAUGAUUUUAAUUUAGCUAAUUGUCAAUCUGGUACAGGUAAGACCUUUAUUAUUUUAUUCAUUCUACUUAUUUUACCGGGUAACACUGUCUCCACAUGGCCCA